GAUGAACGCUGGCGGCGUGCCUAAUACAUGCAAGUCGAGCGAACAGACGAGGAGCUUGCUCCUCUGACGUUAGCGGCGGACGGGUGAGUAACACGUGGAUAACCUACCUAUAAGACUGGGAUAACUUCGGGAAACCGGAGCUAAUACCGGAUAAUAUAUUGAACCGCAUGGUUCAAUAGUUAAAGACGGUUUUGCUGUCACUUAUAGAUGGAUCCGCGCCGCAUUAGCUAGUUGGUAAGGUAACGGCUUACCAAGGCAACGAUGCGUAGCCGACCUGAGAGGGUGAUCGGCCACACUGGGACUGAGACACGGUCCAGACUCCUACGGGAGGCAGCAGUAGGGAAUCUUACGCAAUGGGCGAAAGCCUGACGGAGCAACGCCGCGUGAGUGAUGAAGGUCUUCGGAUCGUAAAACUCUGUUAUUAGGGAAGAACAAAUGUGUAAGUAACUAUGCACGUCUUGACGGUACCUAAUCAGAAAGCCACGGCUAACUACGUG
rnacentral:rRNA from 1 species